GUCUCGCCGUUCGACCCGGGAGCUCCACGUUGCAGCCAAACACGAUCCCGUUAACCAACCUUUAUGCAGUGCCUGUUGUCUAUCCGACCCUUUCUCGAGCAUCGGCUCAUUGGCAAAGGAUCGUGAUGCUCACCGGCUGGGGCUUGAGACUCGCUGUGUGACCUUGGGCAAGUGACUUAACCUCUCUGAGGUUGUCGCCAAUCCGUAAAAUAUAAUAGGUUAGUGACCCUACCUUUCAGGGAGUAUGUGAGACAAACGAGAUGACACGGGUAAAGAGCUUAGCAAGAUGCCUAAUGCAUAGUGAGCAUGCAGUAAUUGUUCUUGGCAUCAAUGUAGUUUUGUGUGUUUGUUUGUUUAUUUUUUUAGAGACAGGAUCUCACCGUGUCGUCCAGGAUGGGGUGCAGCGGUGCAGUCACAGCUCACUGCAGCCUCGACCUCCUGGGUUCAAGCCAUCCUCCCACCUCAGCCUCCCAAGUAGAUGGAACUACAGACAGGUGCCACCACACCCGGCUAAUUUUUAAUUUUUAAUAGAAACGGGGGUCUCACUAUGUUGCCCAGGGUGGUCUUGAACCCCUAGACUCAAGCAAUCCUCCUGCCUCAGCCUCCCAGAGCUCUGGGAUUACAGGCGUGAGCCACCGCGCCAGGCCCAGUCAUUUUUUUUUUAAAUUAUGGUAAAAUAUAUAGAACAUAAAAUUUACCAUCUUAACCUUUGUUGUUGUUGUUGUUGUUGUUGUUGUCGUUGUUGUUGUUGUUGAGACAGAGUCUCGCUCUGUCGCCCAGGCUGGAAUACAGUGGCCCGAUCUCGGCUCACUGCAAGCUCCGCCUCCCGGGUUCACGCCAUUCUCCUGCCUCAGCCUCCCGGGUAGCUGGGACUUACAGGCGCCCGCCACCACGCCCGGCUAAUUUUUUGUAUUUUUAGUAGAGACGGGGUUUCACCGUGUUAGCCAGGAUGGUCUCGAACUCCUGACCUCGUGAUCCGCCCGCCUCGGCCUCCCAAAGUGCUGGGAUUACAGGCGUGAGCCGCCGCGCCCGGCCCAUCUUAACCAUUUUUAAGCACUCCCUGCAGUGGCAUUAAGCACUUUCACAUCCCCACCAUCCACCCCAAGAACUUUUUCAAUCCGUGAUAUUUUUAGUUGGCCCCCUCCGAUGGACUCCCGAGGCAGCCUUCCAACCAAGGUCAUCUCUUCACUCUUCCACUCCCUGCAGCCAGUCCCAAAGGAGUUCCGAACCCACCGGGCCCUGGAAAUGUGGAAGUGAGGGAGACGGGCAAGGCCCCUGCCCUCCUGUAUUCUAGUGGGGGGGAAAAGCAACAAACAACCACCACAAAAUAUAUGUGUAUAUUAUAUACACACUCACAGUAGAUAAUAUGUUUAUACGUAUGUGUAAUGCAUACAUGUUACCUAUGUGUAUGUAUGUAGUAUAUAUGUUUAUAUAUUGUACACAUACAUAUAGACCUGUAUUAUGCAUGUAUAAUAUGUCUAUGUUGUAUACAUACAUAUAUGCAAUUGCACGUAUGUAAAUAAGGUGACAGCCUCUGGCAAUGUCACCCUGUGAUGCCUGUCUCAGCUUAGAAAUUUCUCACUAUCAGCCGUGUGCAGUGGCUCACACCUGUAAUCCCAGCACUGUGGGAGGCCGAAGUGGGUGGAUCACUUGAGGUCAGGAGUUCAAGACCAGCCUGGCCAACGUGGUGAAACCUGUCUCUACUAAAAAUAAAAAUACAAAAAUUAGCCAGGCUUGGUGGCGGGCGCCUGCAAUCCCAGCCACUCAGGAGGCUGAGGUGGGAGAAUCGCUUAAGCCUGAGAGGUCAGCUGGGCUUGUUGGCUCACGCCUGUGAUCCCAGUGCUUUGGGAGGUGUAGGCGGGCAGAUCACGAGAUCAGGAAUUCGAGACCAGCCUGGCCAACACAUGAUGAAACCCUGUCUCUACUAAAAAUACAAAAAAUUAGCCGGGUGUGGUGGCAGGCACCUGUAAUCCCAGUUAGGAGGCUGAGGCAGGAGAAUCGCUUGAACGCAGGGGCUGGAGGUUGCAGUGAGCCGAGACCGCGCCAGUGAACUGUAGCCUGGGCAACAAAGUGAGACUCCGUCUCAGACAAACAAACAAAAAACCUGAGAGGUGGAGGCUGGAAGCGGAGAUCAUGCCACUGCACCCCAGCCUGGGUGACAGAGUGAGACUCUG
rnacentral:lncRNA from 1 species